ensembl:misc_RNA Metazoa_SRP Metazoan signal recognition particle RNA
GCUGGGUGUGGUGGUGCAUGCCUGUAAUCCCAGCUACUCAGGAGGCUGAGGCAGGAGAAUCACUUGAGCCCAGGAGGUAGAGGUUGCAGUGAGCCGAGAUCGUGCCACUGCACUCUAGCCUGGGUAACAGAGUGAGACUCUGUCUCAA